AUGAACGCUGGCGGCGUGCCUAAUACAUGCAAGUCGAGCGAACAGACGAGGAGCUUGCUCCUCUGACGUUAGCGGCGGACGGGUGAGUAACACGUGGAUAACCUACCUAUAAGACUGGGAUAACUUCGGGAAACCGGAGCUAAUACCGGAUAAUAUAUUGAACCGCAUGGUUCAAUAGUGAAAGACGGUUUUGCUGUCACUUAUAGAUGGAUCCGCGCCGCAUUAGCUAGUUGGUAAGGUAACGGCUUACUAAGGCGACGAUGCGUAGCCGACCUGAGAGGGUGAUCGGCCACACUGGAACUGAGACACGGUCCAGACUCCUACGGGAGGCAGCAGUAGGGAAUCUUCCGCAAUGGGCGAAAGCCUGACGGAGCAACGCCGCGUGAGUGAUGAAGGUCUUCGGAUCGUAAAACUCUGUUAUUAGGGAAGAACAAAUGUGUAAGUAACUAUGCACGUCUUGACGGUACCUAAUCAGAAAGCCACGGCUAACUACGUG
rnacentral:rRNA from 1 species